rnacentral:tRNA from 1 species
GGAGAGGUGGGAGAGUGGCUUAAUCCACAAGUUUGCUAAACUUGCGUACUCGUUCAGGGUACCGGGGGUUCGAAUCCCCCCCUCUCCG